GACGUAGGGCGCGAGCGUUGUCCGGAUUUAUUGGGCGUAAAGAGCUCGUAGGCGGCUCGUUGCGUCAACCGUGAAAACCCGGGGCUUAACUUCGGGCUUGCGGUUGAUACGGGCAGGCUAGAGUUCGGUAGGGGAGACUGGAAUUCCUGGUGUAGCGGUGAAAUGCGCAGAUAUCAGGAGGAACACCGGUGGCGAAGGCGGGUCUCUGGGCCGAUACUGACGCUGAGGAGCGAAAGCGUGGGGAGCGAACAGG
rnacentral:rRNA from 1 species